GACGAACGCUGGCGGCGUGCCUAACACAUGCAAGUCGAGCGGGGGUCAACUGGUGGCAACACCAGGGAAGCCCGAGCGGCGAACGGGUGAGUAACACGUGAGGAACCUGCCACGGAGACCGGGCUAACAGCUGGAAACGGCUGCUAAUACCGGAUGCCGUCAUCGGACCGCCUGAGCCGAUGACGAAAGGAUUCCGCUCCGGAAGGGCCUCGCGGCCUAUCAGCUUGUUGGUGGGGUAACUGCCUACCAAGGCUCCGACGGGUCGCGGGUCUGAGGGGACGAUCAGCCACACUGGGACUGAGACGCGGCCCAGACUCCUACGGGAGGCAGCAGGGGGGAAGCUUGAGCAAUGGGCGAAAGCCUGACGCAGCAACGCCGCGUGCGGGAUGAAGGCCUUCGGGUUGUAAACCGCUUUCAGCAGGGACGAAAUUGACGGUACCUGCAGAAGAAGCCCCGGCCAACUACGUGCCAGCCGCCGCAGUAAAAC
rnacentral:rRNA from 1 species